rnacentral:misc_RNA from 1 species
UCGUAACAAGGUUUCCGUAGGUGAACCUGCGGAAGGAUCAUUAAAUAAUCAAUAAUCUUGGCUUGUCCAUUAUUAUCUAUUUACUGUGAACUGUAUUAUUAUUUGACGUUUGAGGGAUGUUCCAAUGUUAUAAGGAUAGACAUUGGAGAUGUUAACCGAGUCAUAAUCAGGUUUAGGCCUGGUAUCCUAUUAUUAUUUACCAAAUGAAUUCAGAAUUAAUAUUGUAACAUAGACCUAAAAAAUCUAUAAAACAACUUUUAACAACGGAUCUCUUGGUUCUCGCAUCGAUGAAGAACGUAGCAAAGUGCGAUAACUAGUGUGAAUUGCAUAUUCAGUGAAUCAUCGAGUCUUUGAACGCAACUUGCGCUCAUUGGUAUUCCAAUGAGCACGCCUGUUUCAGUAUCAAAACAAACCCUCUAUCCAACUUUUGUUGUAUAGGAUUAUUGGGGGCCUCUCGAUCUGUAUAGAUCUUGAAACCCUUGAAAUUUACUAAGGCCUGAACUUGUUUAAUGCCUGAACUUUUUUUUAAUAUAAAGGAAAGCUCUUGUAAUUGACUUUGAUGGGGCCUCCCAAAUAAAUCUUUUUUAAAUUUGAUCUGAAAUCAGGUGGGAUUACCCGCUGAACUUAAGCAUAUCAAUAA